UACGAAGGGGGCUAUCGUUGCUCGGAAUCACUGGGCGUAAAGGGUGCGUCGGCGGGUCUUUAAGUCAGGGGUGAAAUCCUGGAGCUCAACUCCAGAACUGCCUUUGAUACUGAGGAUCUUGAGUUCGGGAGAGGUGAGUGGAACUGCGAGUGUAGAGGUGAAAUUCGUAGAUAUUCGCAAGAACACCAGUGGCGAAGGCGGCUCACUGGCCCGAUACUGACGCUGAGGCACGAAAGCGUGGGGAGCAAACAGG
rnacentral:rRNA from 1 species